rnacentral:rRNA from 1 species
AACGAACGCUGGCGGCAUGCCUAACACAUGCAAGUCGAACGAGACCUUCGGGUCUAGUGGCGCCCGGGUGCGUAACGCGUGGGAACCUGCCCUUAGGUUCGGAAUAACUCCCCGAAAGGGGUGCUAAUACCGGAUCAUGUCUUCGGACCAAAGAUUUAUCGCCUUUGGAUGGGCCCGCGUUGGAUUAGCUAGUUGGUAGGGUAAAAGCCUACCAAGGCGACGAUCCAUAGCUGGUCUGAGAGGAUGAUCAGCCACACUGGGACUGAGACACGGCCCAGACUCCUACGGGAGGCAGCAGUGGGGAAUAUUGGACAAUGGGCGAAAGCCUGAUCCAGCAAUGCCGCGUGAGUGAUGAAGGCCUUAGGGUUGUAAAGCUCUUUUACCCGGGAUGAUAAUGACAGUACCGGGAGAAUAAGCUCCGGCUAACUCCGUG